AGAGUUUGAUCCUGGCUCAGGAUGAACGCUAGCGACAUGCUUAACACAUGCAAGUCGAGGGGCAGCGGGGGCGUAGCAAUAUGCCUGCCGGCGACCGGCGCACGGGUGAGUAACACGUAUGUAACCUGCCCUAUGCAGGGGGAUAACCCGGAGAAAUCCGGCCUAAUACCGCGUAACACCUUAGGGGAGCAUUCUCUUGAGGUUAAAGGAGAGAUCCGGCAUAAGAUGGACAUGCGUCACAUUAGGUAGACGGCGGGGUAACGGCCCACCGUGCCCACUAUGAGUAGGGGUUCUGAGAGGAAGGCCCCCCACACUGGUACUGACACACGGACCACACUCCUACGGGAGGCAGCAGUGAGGAAUAUUGGUCAACUGGCCGAGAGGCUGAACCAGCCAAGUCGCGUGAGGGAAGAAUGUCCUAAGGAUUGUAAACCUCUUUUGUCGGGGAGCAAAAAGGCUCUGCAGAGUCGUAUUGAGAGUACCCGAAGAAAAAGCAUCGGCUAACUCCGUGCCAGCAGCCGCGGUAAUACGGAGGAUGCGAGCGUUAUCCGGAUUUAUUGGGUUUAAAGGGUGCGCAGGCGGCGUGUCAAGCAAGCGGUAAAAUAGCGGGGCUCAACCCCGUCGAGCCGUUUGAACUGGCGCGCUUGAGUUCAGGCGAGGUAGGCGGAAUUCGUGGUGUAGCGGUGAAAUGCAUAGAUAUCACGAAGAACUCCGAUUGCGAAGGCAGCUUACCAGUCUGCGACUGACGCUCAGGCACGAAAGUGUGGGUAUCGAACAGGAUUAGAUACCCUGGUAGUCCACGCAGUAAACGAUGAGCGCUAGGUGUCCGGGUCGCAUGAGCCUUGGUUGCCCGAGCGAAAGCGUUAAGCGCUCCACCUGGGGAGUACGCCGGCAACAGUGAAACUCAAAGGAAUUGACGGGGGCCCGCACAAGCGGAGGAACAUGUGGUUUAAUUCGAUGAUACGCGAGGAACCUUACCCGGGCUCAAACGCCUCAGGAAUAUAUUGGAACCGAUGUAGCCAGCAAUGGUAUGAGUCGAGGUGCUGCAUGGUUGUCGUCAGCUCGUGCCGUGAGGUGUCGGCUUAAGUGCCAUAACGAGCGCAACCCCUACCCCCAGUUGCCAACGGGUAAAGCCGGGCACUCUGGCGGGACUGCCGGCGCAAGCUGUGAGGAAGGCGGGGAUGACGUCAAAUCAUCACGCCCCUUACGUCCGGGGCGACACACGUGUUACAAUGGCAGGUACAGCGGGAAGCCACCUGGUGACAGGGAGCGGAACCCGAAAGCCUGUCUCCGUUUGGAUUGGCGUCUGCCACUUGACUCCCUGAAGCCGGAUUUGCUAGUAAUUGCGCAUCAGCCAUGGCGCGGUGAAUACGUUCCCGGGCCUUGCACACACCGCCCGUCA
rnacentral:rRNA from 1 species